rnacentral:rRNA from 1 species
UGGGGAAUAUUGCACAAUGGGGGAAACCCUGAUGCAGCGACGCCGCGUGAGAGGAAGAAGGUCUUCGGAUUGUAAACUCCUGUUGUUGGGGAAGAUAAUGACGGUACCCAACUAAG